UUGGGAAUCUUGGACAAUGGGGAAACCCGUAGCAUCCAGCCAUGCCGCGUGAGUGAUGAAGGCCUUAGGGUUGUAAAACUCUUUCGGCGGGACGAUAAUGACGGUACCCUCAGAAGAAGCUCCGGCUAACUUCGUGCCAGCAGCCGCGGUAAUACGAAGGGGCGUAGCGUUGUUCGGAAUUACUGGGCGUAAAGCGUGCGCAGGCGGCCAUCCAAGUCAGUGGUGAAAGCCCGGAGCUCAACUCCGGAAUUGCCAUUGAAACUGUUUGGCUCGAGUACGAGAGAGGUGAGUGGAAUUCCCAGUGUAGAGGUGAAAUUCGUAGAUAUUGGGAAGAACACCGGUGGCGAAGGCGGCUCACUGGCUUCGUAACUGACGCUCAUGCACGACAGCGUGGGGAUCAAAACA
rnacentral:rRNA from 1 species